rnacentral:rRNA from 1 species
AGUGAACGCUGGCGGCGUGCUUAACACAUGCAAGUCGAACGAGAACGGAUUAUAGCUUGCUAUAAUUGUCAGCUAAGUGGCGCACGGGUGAGUAAUGUAUAGGUAAUAUGCCUCUUACUAAGGGAUAACAAAUGGAAACGUUUGCUAAUACCUUAUACUCCUUAUUAACAGAAGUUAAUAAGGGAAAGAUUUAUUGGUAAGAGAUUAGCCUGUAUUGUAUCAGUUAGUUGGUGGGGUAAUGGCUUACCAAGACUAUGACACAUAACUGGUUUGACAGGAUGAUCAGUCACACUUGAACUGAGACACGGUCCAGACUCCUACGGGAGGCAGCAGUGGGGAAUAUUGCACAAUAGACGAAAGUCUGAUGCAGCAACGCCGCGUGGAGGAUGACACAUUUCGGUGCGUAAACUCCUUUUAUAUGAGAAGAUAAUGACGGUAUUAUAUGAAUAAGGACCGGCUAACUCCGUGCCAGCAGCCGCAGUAA